rnacentral:pre_miRNA from 1 species
UAUGUACUCCCUCCGUUCAGAAUUACUUGUCGCAGAAAUGGAUGUAUCUAGACGUAUUUUAGUUCUAGAUACAUCCAUUUUCGAGACAAGUAAUUCCGAACGGAGGGAGUACUAU